GGUGGGUAGUGACAGCUGCUCUGUCUUGAAGGAUCCCGAUCUGGUUUGGGAGGGUGAAGACCGCUGAAAUUUCCAGGCUGCCCGAGGCUCUAUCUUCCACCACCCAACGGGUGGGCAGUGGGCCAGGCUGGCCUCGGAGCCUCUCCCUGGGUGUCGGUUGGGCGGAGAAGGGGGCGUCUGGCUGGGUGGGCCGGGCGGCUGGUGUCUCUCCCCAGGCCGGAGUCACUCUGAGGCCAUUUUACAUUGCCCUAAUCCUGUCCACUUGGCUGGAAACUUAGCAAGCCCCUAAGGUUCAUUCCAAAUCCUGUGUGGGAGGGCGAGGACUGUGGAAACUUCCAGGUGCCUCAGACUCCAUCUUUGGCCGUUGAGCGGGUGGUUGGGCUGCUCACGGCCCCAAAGAUCUGGGGGGUCUUCAUGGGCGGUUGGGUCGCUGAGGGCCCCAAAGAUCUGGGGCUCCUCCCGGGUGUCGGUUGGGCCAAGGGGGAGGCUGGGCUUUCGGAGUAGAACCUGCGGUGCUAACGAUGGCUCCGCGGGGCUGAGGGCCUGGGCGGCGUCCUGUGGCCCGGAGAUGGAGCUUUAGUGGUAUCAGGCCUUGAGUCGGGGCAUCCUGGCUUCUGACCCCCCAUUCCUUCGGCCCCUACAGCCUGGUCUCCGCUUCCCCACUCCCGGUGGAUUGCUGUUGGAGCCGCCUCUCCUUUCUAGGUAGUGGCCUGGCCGAGCUCCCUGGGGAGGGCUUGACCCAACCCUGUCCUGUCUCCAGUCGAGUCCCAGCCACAUGCUGCUGUGCCCUCACCCCAGCCACCCGCUGGGCACUCGAGGGCCUUGGAGAACCGGACCCCAGAGUGGAGAGAGGCCGCUGUCUUGGGCUCUAAAACCAUUUAGUUUCUACUUUACUCUUUUUAGAAAACUUCUCCCUCGUUUUUGAAGUUCUUUAAUUCCAUCACUCCACCCCAUGUUAAAAUAUCAUCUUUUUCCUUCCAACUUGACUCUUGGUUUGGCAUGUCCAGGGAAGAUAACUGACAUCCCGGAGAAUAGGGUCUUGGGGGUAGAUGCAAAGCACAUUUUACUAAUGUCUGGGGAACAAAAUUAGUUCUUUUACAGUGGCUCUGAAAUGAGAGAAAUUGGAGAAAUUCUCCCUGCUCAGGAAAAGGUAGAGGCAAGAACUGACUUAAAGAUGGGUAAGAAGAGUGCUACUGAUCAUAAGCUAAAUGUGGACAAAGUAAUUAAAAAUAUUAACACAAUUUCUUUGGAGUUGAAGAAGAUAAAAGAGCUCUCCCAGUUAUUGCUUUGUGACCUUAUCCUACAUUUUAAUCAUCCCGUCAAGACUGAGAACUUAACAGAAGCAGAAAGAAAACAACCCCCUCUUUGAAGAGUCUAAAAUAUCAGAUAUAUCCCUUGUUUCUAACAGUUUUUCUGCUGAUUUCUUAUUUGUUACGAGUUUCUGUUUUUAUUGUUGAAGUAACAAAUACUUGGGAGAGUUGAGUUUACUAAUUUGUAUAUGUAUAAUUUAAAACAAAAUAAAAAUAAUGUUGUAAACAAGCA